UGUUAAACUCACAGAUCCACAGAGGCACUGGACCCAUUAAUAAUUAGGGUUAAUAUGAUCUCACCUGAACUUGAGAGGGGACGAGUAAGCCAGCUCUUCACAGGUAUUCUAAGUGCGUUACACACACAUAGAGUCAGAUUGUGUGUGUAUUGGUCAACAUCUCCGUGUACCUGCACAUCAGGGAGCUGUGGCGGUGGACACUAGUUUGGAUGGCAUCUCCAUUCACUGAGCUGGAGGCGCUGAUGAUCAUGUUCUGUCUCCUGGUUUUCGCCCUCUUCACCAUUACUGGGAUGUUCAAUGAAGAAUGUGGAAACCCAAAUGAAACUCACACACGAGCACGAGGUCAGGAGUGUGUCGCUUGACUUCAGAUGACGAGGAAACUUCUGCCAACCACAGAAACUCUUCUUCUCUUUUUGUUGCAUUAUUAUGGGGUCAUGUCAGUCAAAGCCUUGGGGGGGGGGGUGUAAUCAGUUAAAAGAUGGUGGACUAUGAAUGAACGUGUGCGUGUCGUCUGUGUGUGUGUGUGUGUGUGUGUAUGUGUGCUUGAUACAGGAUCCAGAGUUGUAACCUUCCAGGAUGAGGCACGCAGGUGUGGCCUGAACGGGACAGAAUCAAUAAAUAAAAACCUGCUGCAGAGACAACCUGCUUUCUUUGUUCUUAAGGGCGUGUAAAUGUGAAAACACACUCAUAUCCUUUUAUUUUGAUCUGACAAUAGCUGCAGUGAUUCCG